UAAACGCCCCCUCCCCCCAGUCAUCUCCCUCACUUCACACUCUCAGAGACUAAACCACGAACCUUAGGGAGCCGCCUCGAUUUUCCAUCGCCACGUGCUGGGGGCGGCACCCCUAAAUCAACACCAUAAGACCUUUAUAGCCAUUUCUUUCCCAAUCUAUAAUUACUUUCCCUCGAAUAUGUCAAGAGCUGCUCGAAUAUUAAAUCGAAUUCGAGACUCUAAAAACCUCAAACCUCCUCGCCCUCAAUUAUGUGGCAUGCAAUGGCCAUGCCUUUGAUUUUCACGUUUUGAAGGCCUGAUUUGACACAAAAUCGAUGUUGUUCACUUGCUCUUAACAAAGAACAAGUGAUUAUCGUCAGUUUCGUCUAAAUCAAAGAAUUCUAGUUUGGUUUCGAGUUUUGCUUGGUGAGUUUUUCUUUCUUUUUCUUUAUAUCCGUUUUAUUUAUUUUAUCUCUUGUUCUUCUUCUUUUCUUCUAUGUUUACAUUGAGUGAUCUUGCCUUCUGUGAAUAGUCCUGAAUUUAUUUUUUCCCUUUUAGAUUAAUUUGUGGUUUGUGUUUAAUUCUGUUUAUUUUUAGUUUUCUUUUCACUUUCGAAAGCUUGUUCACUAACUUUGUUUGUUCGUCUAUUUAAUCUUAGGUAAAUUUCUAAUUUCCUUUUGUUAGUCUCUCUAGUUUGGUUUAAUCGGUUUAUUUUGGUUUAGUUACUUAGUUAAUUCCCUACCUAGUUGUGCUAAUUAAUCAGCAAUUUAAUUAGGAUUAUUUUUGGAAUCAUUUCAUGUUAUCCUGUUUGCAGAUAUUCUUUUGUUUUAAUUAGAUAAGUGUUCGUUUGGGCUUUGGUCUAGUCUUUGAUCUAUUGGCAAAGAGCAGCCUAUCCAAAACAGGUUUGGGUUAUUGGGUCGUUUUGACCCAUUUUGGUCUGAUUUUCAGGGGUAAUUAGCAGGGAUUUAGGGGGUAAUCUGGCAAUUUUAGGUGAAAAAGAAUCUUUAUAACUGAUCUAGGAAGUUGCCUUUAAGACUUUACUAAAAAUACUGAUCUUAAGUUAGGGGUACUUAAGCAAAAAUAAAAUACAAAAAGGGUCAAAAUAUAAAAUCAGUUGUCUUGGGGCUGUCCUAAAAGCUUUCCUAUAAAGGCAUCAUUUCUUCAUUAGCAAUGCAGAUUUUAAAAAGAGAAAAAUUCUGAAUAUUGGAAAUGGUUGAGCUAAGAAAAGGACUUGAAAAAACUCUUGUAUUUUGUGGUAAUUGGUCCAAUUUUGCAUUUGGUCUUUACAUUCCAAACCUUCAAAGUAUUUUUAGCUCUUUUAGGGUUAAAAGAUGAUUUGAGGGCUGUAGAUCACUGUUCCAUUGUUGAUCCUGAGUUGAUAUUCUGUUGUCAUUUCCUAUUUCGUUUGGCUUGCUGCUACUGCUACGUCCUUUUUAGUUUCAGACUAAAUUUUUGGUCUCAGAACACCUAAUUUUUUACCACACCCAAAUUCUAUACUAGUUUAGUGUAAAUAUUUCUUUUGCAUCUAAUUUUAAUAUUUUAAAACUUUUAUGUUACUCUUAGUAGGUUUUAUUUUAAAAAUAAUAUACUAACUAUAUAUUCGCAGUCUUUGAGUAAAAGUUUUACUCCUAGUUUUAAGUAAAAAAUAUUUAAAAAAUCUAAUUAGAAUUUUAAAUGUAAGCUAUCGUAUUUUUCUUAGUAUAAUUUAAAGUACAAUGUUAAUAGUUAAUUUUCUUAUGUAUAUAAUAUUUAAGUAUAAGGUAGCUAACUAAUAUUUUUAACUAUGCAUUUUACUUUCUAAUUUCUUUACUAAUUAAGAAUAAGUAAAAGUUAUUAAACAAAAAAAGAAAAAGAAAAACAACUAACGAAAAGAAAAAAAUAAAAAAUAAUAGUAAUAAAAAAUAAUAAUAUAACAAACAAGGGAUAAAUCUUGAAAGAUUAAAAUAAAAAUUAUCCUAAGUACUCACCACGAUCUUCUCAACCUCUUUAUUCCUCUCCAACUCCAACUCCAACUCUAACUCCUUUACAUAACACCCAUAUUUCCUUUAUAAAAGAGAAUCAUAAACUUAAAAAAGAGAGAGAAAAAGGGAGAGAAAACGUUGGAAAAAAAAAUGAAGCAAGAAAGAAACGGAAGAAAGAAACUAGGAAGAAAAGAAAGAAAACAGAGAGAAAAGAGUAAAAGACAACGAAAAAAAAGGAAAAAAACAAGGAGAAAAAGCAAACUAAAAAAACGAGGAAGAAACAAAGUGAGUUUGGAGCCAAAGUUCGAGAUUUCAUAUGUGGUUUCGAGUUCGAGGUUAUAGAAAAGUUAGCAUUGUUAGCUUUGAAAACCAGUAGAUUGUGACUUUAAUUUUAUUAUAAAGAAGCUUCACAUUACAGGUUUUUUUAUAAUCUUUUAUCCGAUCCAUUUUAAUGUGUUUUUUGGAACAUAAACUGUUUUACAUCUCAUUUAUUAUUUGAUUGGUAUUUGAGUUUUUAUUUGUUAAUCCAUGUUGUGUAUAUAAAAUAUUAUUCCUUGAAUCUUGAGUAUGUAAGUAUUUUUUAAAUUUAUUUACUACUUUGGCUAAGACAAUGUCUUAAAUUUUUGAUGUUAUAAUAAUAUCAUUGCUAAAUGGGUAAGAAUAGUUCAAACAAUAAAGUAAUAUCUUAUACCAUAAAAACUAUUGAUAAGAAGUACUGAACCUAAAAAUUAAGUCCAUCAUGAGUUUUUACUUUUAAGUUUAUUAAUUUGCGGCAAUACCACUUCUAAAAAAAUAAUAAUAAAAUGUUUACUUCCCUUAAAGAAUUCAUGUAAAAUUCUUGUAGUAUGUUUUGAGUUUGGAGUUUAUUUCAAAUUUUUCUUUUAUGUGUUAUUUUAAAUUUUUUAUUUUUCUUAAAUUCUCGCAUAAAAAAAUCACGUCACACAUUUAAUGUAAAGUGUAAUAUUUUCAUCGAUUAAUUCUCUUAGUUUUAUGUUGACCUCUUUUUUUGUCAAUAUGACUAAUAGAUUUGGUUUAAUUUGUAAUGUAAUUUUUUUUUCUUAAUAUUCUUUUAUUUUAUCAUGCUUGGAUUCUGAUUUAGAAUUGUUAGAACAAUUAUUUUUUUAUUAGUGUGUGAUGUUGAUACCGAGAGAAUGGGUUUAUGGGAAAAUUCAGCUCAUUAAGACAUUUUAAGGAUUGUAUAUAAAAAAUAAGUGUGAUAUGGUAAAAUGAUUCAUGAACUAAUUCAAGACUAGUUCCAAUAAUAAAAACAUAAAAUUAUAUAUCUCGAAUCUAAAAGAGAUAAAAUAUUUGAUAUAUUGUAAAAUAUGUUAUUAGCUCAUUUUUUCAUACCUGAACCUAGGAUUAAUAUGCUUAUAAUAAAAGGAUCACGUGUACAUUCCGCGUCUUGAUACCUUUUUAAUUUAAAAUAAUUAUGUUAUUACUAUGUGUAUAUUUCAUACCUUGGUUUAAUAUUUAAUUUCAAGGAAGUACCUUGUGCGCCUAUUGCAUGUUGGUCAAAAUAAUUAAUAAAAAUAUAAUAAAUUAAGUGCAGUAGUAAUAAAUAAGCCAUUACCAAUAAAAUACAAGAAUAGCUAAAAAAAAUUUUAAGCCUUACGUUAAUCAAUAGAAGCGAUCGUACUAGAACCACGGGACUUGAGGGGUGCAUUACACCUUCCCCUCAGUCAACAAAAUUCUUUACUCAGUCUUCUAUUUUCGUAGACCAUAAAUUUGUUGGAAACACGCUCAAUGCAAUAUACUAAAACAUGUGUUCUUUUGUGUAGGUUUUGAUGAAUGACAAACGAAGC
rnacentral:lncRNA from 1 species